UAGGACGGGUAAGGGAUUUCAUAAU
rnacentral:piRNA from 1 species